rnacentral:misc_RNA from 1 species
AGAUUUUAAGGCUGAAUCAAUAUAUUUCAACGCAUCAUCAAUAAGGUUUGCUUUAAAUAGCAAGCCAGUAACCAAAUCAUAUGACUCUUCAUCAGGCAAAGCUUCUUUAUACUCAACUCCAGUUGCAAUCAUCCUUUCGAGCAAUUUGACAGAUUUAUCAGCCCAUGACAAUGGUUCACCAGAUUGAAACAUAGCUUUCAAGAUCAAAUUAUGCGAAGCAGUAUUAGCAACAAGUCCAUACUCCUCCAUUUGACUAGCUAAUCCCAACAAAUCAUCAGCAGUAGCACCCAUCAUCAAAUUAGCUCUCAA